rnacentral:sRNA from 1 species
AUGGAGCUCCUCCCGCCGCUGCCUCAGUCCUUCCUGUUGCUGCUGCUGUUGCCUGCCAAGCCCGCGGCGGGCGAGGACUGGCAGUGCCCGCGCACCCCCUACGCGGCCUCUCGCGACUUUGACGUGAAGUACGUGGUGCCCAGCUUCUCCGCCGGAGGCCUGGUACAGGCCAUGGUGACCUACGAGGGCGACAGAAAUGAGAGUGCUGUGUUUGUAGCCAUACGCAAUCGCCUGCAUGUGCUUGGGCCUGACCUGAAGUCUGUCCAGAGCCUGGCCACGGGCCCUGCUGGAGACCCUGGCUGCCAGACGUGUGCAGCCUGUGGCCCAGGACCCCACGGCCCUCCCGGUGACACAGACACAAAGGUGCUGGUGCUGGAUCCCGCGCUGCCUGCGCUGGUCAGUUGUGGCUCCAGCCUGCAGGGCCGCUGCUUCCUGCAUGACCUAGAGCCCCAAGGGACAGCCGUGCAUCUGGCAGCGCCAGCCUGCCUCUUCUCAGCCCACCAUAACCGGCCCGAUGACUGCCCCGACUGUGUGGCCAGCCCAUUGGGCACCCGUGUAACUGUGGUUGAGCAAGGCCAGGCCUCCUAUUUCUACGUGGCAUCCUCACUGGACGCAGCCGUGGCUGCCAGCUUCAGCCCACGCUCAGUGUCUAUCAGGCGUCUCAAGGCCGACGCCUCCGGAUUCGCACCGGGCUUUGUGGCGUUGUCAGUGCUGCCCAAGCAUCUUGUCUCCUACAGUAUUGAAUAUGUGCACAGCUUCCACACGGGAGCCUUCGUAUACUUCCUGACUGUACAGCCGGCCAGCGUGACAGAUGAUCCUAGUGCCCUGCACACACGCCUGGCACGGCUUAGCGCCACUGAGCCAGAGUUGGGUGACUAUCGGGAGCUGGUCCUCGACUGCAGAUUUGCUCCAAAACGCAGGCGCCGGGGGGCCCCAGAAGGCGGACAGCCCUACCCUGUGCUGCGGGUGGCCCACUCCGCUCCAGUGGGUGCCCAACUUGCCACUGAGCUGAGCAUCGCCGAGGGCCAGGAAGUACUAUUUGGGGUCUUUGUGACUGGCAAGGAUGGUGGUCCUGGCGUGGGCCCCAACUCUGUCGUCUGUGCCUUCCCCAUUGACCUGCUGGACACACUAAUUGAUGAGGGUGUGGAGCGCUGUUGUGAAUCCCCAGUCCAUCCAGGCCUCCGGCGAGGCCUCGACUUCUUCCAGUCGCCCAGUUUUUGCCCCAACCCGCCUGGCCUGGAAGCCCUCAGCCCCAACACCAGCUGCCGCCACUUCCCUCUGCUGGUCAGUAGCAGCUUCUCACGUGUGGACCUAUUCAAUGGGCUGUUGGGACCAGUACAGGUCACUGCAUUGUAUGUGACACGCCUUGACAACGUCACAGUGGCGCACAUGGGCACAAUGGAUGGGCGUAUCCUGCAGGUGGGUCCUCAUCCCCACAGUCCCCUAGCCCUGGGUCCUUGUCUCCAUCCCCAUUUUGCUCACAUCUGACCUGUCCUAGGUGGAGCUGGUCAGGUCACUAAACUACUUGCUGUAUGUGUCCAACUUCUCACUGGGUGACAGUGGGCAGCCCGUGCAGCGGGAUGUCAGUCGUCUUGGGGACCACCUACUCUUCGCCUCUGGGGACCAGGUUUUCCAGGUACCAAUCCGAGGCCCUGGCUGCCGCCACUUCCUGACCUGUGGGCGUUGCCUAAGGGCAUGGCAUUUCAUGGGCUGUGGCUGGUGUGGGAACAUGUGCAGCCAGCAGAAGGAGUGUCCUGGCUCCUGGCAACAGGACCACUGCCCACCUAAGCUUACUGAGUUCCACCCCCACAGUGGACCUCUAAGGGGCAGUACAAGGCUGACCCUGUGUGGCUCCAACUUCUACCUUCACCCUUCUGGUCUGGUACCUGAGGGAACCCAUCAGGUCACUGUGGGCCAAAGUCCCUGCCGGCCACUGCCCAAGGACAGCUCAAAACUCAGGUACAAUCUGGUCCCUCCCCUCCCUUUCCCUGAAGGGGACAACCAAGCAGCCCCUUCCCCAUGA